UUUUCCUGGCUGGGCCACUUCGCUCACCUUCAUGGCCUGGUAGUCGGCCGGCAGGAAGAACUUCCAGAGACAGUCCCUGGAAAGGUAAAGACAAUGUCCAGACCCCAACAUGGAGGGAGGUCCUGCAGCUUAUCGUCCUCGCUGCUCGUCUCGGCCUCCUCCGACCCGUCCUGCUCCACGGGGACCAGGCCUGCCAAGGGGGACAUCCGGAGAGAGAGACG